CCCCCACCAGCAUACCAACCCCCCAAGAGCAACUACCCCCCUCCCGGAAUGGGAGCCUACCCACCCCCUGGGGGUUGUUACCCUGCUGGAGGAGGAAUGGACCCUGCUUACCCACCGCCAGGCCCACAGUACUCACAACCGUAUGCCUCAACGGGGAUUGGCCAGCCUUCGUAUGGAUACGCAUUUCCUUGAAACUAGAGAUUUUUAAAAACUAUAUCAUAUCAUGUCCACAGACGGGAGCUAGCUUUCAGCGCAGGACAAUGUUAGCAAGAUCGCCUUCAUCUUCCUCUUUUUCUAACCAUAUCCCUCUGUAGGGAUGGUAUGGUAUUCAAGAGUAAACGAGAGGCCCUUCUAGUUUUUAAACUAGGUAAAGAGAAGUAUGGACACAUUUGUUUUUCUCGUCUUUCCCAUUAAAUAGCGAGAAAGCAUUUUCGGAUUAUAUGGCAUCCCUUCUGAAUACAGGAAUGUUUUAUUAUAUUAAGCUUACCUUAGGCAACUUUAAGGCAACUUAUAUUUAGUAAGGAUUAAGACAAAUAUUUGUUUUAACCUUCCGAUGCAAACAAACGUAAUCCGCGAAACAGAGCCUGCAUUGUAGGGAUAUUCUUCCAGCUUAUAUCAUUAUGUAUUUAUCUUGAAAUAUUUCGUAAAUGAUGUUUUUAUCUGUGAUACUAUUUGGUUCGUAUAUGCCACAUUAGGCGGUGUUUUAGCUUCAAUGUUACUUGCAAGUGUAGCGACGUCUGCCAUUUUUUCAUGUAAAACUGAUAUACUAUUUUAAAGUAUGUGCUCCCCGUGGAGGUAUUUGUUAUAUUCAGUAUAUUUGGAAAAAAUAUAAUUAUGGCUUAAUACUUAUUGAAUCUCCCAAAAGCAAACUUUCCAUGUUUAUAGCAGAAUUCUAGUAUUGCUUAACUGUCAACUGUCAAUGCUAUAAGCCAGGUGUAAUCCUGCACUUUUAUUUUUAUUCCAAGCUCGUGUUUUAUUCAGAUGUAUACAUAUAAUGUAUAUAUAUGAACGAGUUGUGUGACUUUGGAUUUCUUUUUUUUAUCACGAAGAAAUGUGUUAUAUUAUAAGCACCAUAAGGUAUAAAGAACUGGGUAAUCUUAAGUUCUUCCAGCUAGUCAGCCACCGUUUUAAGGUAGGCCUAGCCAAGAAAACCUCCUGUUUAUAUGCAACACUUACAGAUUUUCUAAUAAACAUGUUAUUUUCUCAUA